rnacentral:rRNA from 1 species
GGCGGCGUGCCUCAGACAUGCAAGUCGAACGCGAAAGUUCCCUUCGGGGGAUGAGUAGAGUGGCGUCCGGGUGAGUAACACGUAGGUAAUCUACCUUUGGGUGGGGAAUAACAACCGGAAACGGUUGCUAAUACCGCAUAAUGCAGCGGCACCACAUGGUGACAGUUGUUAAUGCGGGGGAUCGCAAGACCUCGCGCCUAAAGAGGAGCCUGCGGCGGAUUAGCUAGUUGGUAGGGUAACGGCCUACCAAGGCGACGAUCCGUAGCCGGCCUGAGAGGGCGGUCGGCCACACUGACACUGAAAUACGGGUCAGACUCCUACGGGAGGCAGCAGUCGGGAAUUUUGGGCAAUGGGCGCAAGCCUGACCCAGCAACGCCGCGUGAAGGAUGAAAUCCCUCGGGAUGUAAACUUCGCAAGAACGGGAAGAAUAAGUGGAAGUUAAUACCUUCCAUGAUGACGGUACCGUUUGUAAGCUCCGGCUAACUCCGUGCCAGCAGCCGCGGUAAUACGGGGGGAGCAAGCGU